rnacentral:rRNA from 1 species
UACGGGGGGAGCAAGCGUUGUUCGGAUUUACUGGGCGUAAAGGGCGCGUAGGCGGCGCAACAAGUCACUUGUGAAAUCUCCGGGCUUAACCCGGAGCGGUCAAGUGAUACUGUCGUGCUAGAGUGCGGAAGGGGCUACUGGAAUUCUCGGUGUAGCGGUGAAAUGCGUAGAUAUCGAGAGGAACACCUGCGGCGAAGGCGGCAUCCUGGCCCUUACCUGACGCUGGAGGCG